MMACGWWCGCUGGCGGCGUGGAUUAGGCAUGCAAGUCGAACGCGAAAGUAUUUCUUCGGAGAUACGAGUAGAGUGGCGGACGGGUGAGUAACGCGUAGGUAUCUGCCUUUAAGUGGGGGACAGCCCCGGGAAACCGGGAUUAAUACCGCAUGUGGAGCUACCAAUUAUGUAUUAUGUAUUUCGGUUAGCAAAUUCGUUAGAAUUUGCAACUAUUUUAAAUUAAUACUUCGAUUUGAGUAAGUAUUAGUUUAUGAUUAAGAGUGCAUAAUUGGUAGCUCUAAAGAUGGCCUCUGUUUCAAGCUAUCGCUUAAAGAUGAGCCUGCGUCCUAUUAGCUAGUUGGUAAGGUAAUGGCUUACCAAGGCGAUGAUAGGUAGGCGGCUUUAACGAGUGGUCGCCCACACUGGGAUUGAGAUACGGCCCAGACUCCUACGGGAGGCAGCAGUCGAGAAUAGUCUACAAUGGACGAAAGUCUGAUAGUGCGACGCCGCGUGGAUGAAGAAGCAUUUCGGUGUGUAAAAUCCUUUUCUUUGUGAGCAAUGACUUUAAGAUUAAUAGUUUUAGAGUAGAGAUAUUAGCAGAGGAAUAAGCUCCGGCUAACUCCGGCCAGCAGCCGCGGUAACACGGGGGGAGCAAGCGUUGUCCGGAAUUACUAGGCGUAAAGGGCAAGUAGGCGGAAUUGUAAGUCAGAUGUUAAAGGCACCGGCUCAACCGGUGUACGGCAUUUGAUACUGUGAUUCUAGAGUAAGGUGGGGGAAGAUGGAAUUCCUGGUGUAGCGGUGGAAUGCGCAGAUAUCAGGAAGAACACCAGAGGCGAAGGCGAUCUUCUAUACCAUUACUGACGCUAAAUUGCGAAGGUGUGGGUAUCAAACAGGAUUAGAUACCCUGGUAGUCCACACAGUAAACGAUAUACACUAGGUGUUGGGGGAGAUAAUCUUUCAGUGCCGUAGCUAACGCGUUAAGUGUAUCGCCUGGGGAGUACGAUCGCAAGGUUAAAACUCAAAGGAAUUGACGGGGGCCCGCACAAGCGGUGGAGCAUGUGGUUUAAUUCGAUGCAACGCGAAGAACCUUACCUGGGCUUUGACAUCCUGGGAAUCCUGUAGAGAUACGGGGGUGCCCCUUCGGGGGAACCCAGUGACAGGUGCUGCAUGGCUGUCGUCAGCUCGUGUCGUGAGAUGUUUGGUUAAGUCCAGCAACGAGCGCAACCCCUAUUGUUAGUUGCCAGCGCGUAAUGGCGGGGACUCUAGCAAGACUGCCAGUGUAAUAAACUGGAGGAAGGUGGGGACGACGUCAAGUCAUCAUGGUCCUUAUGUCCAGGGCUACACACGUGCUACAAUGGUCGGUACAGAGGGGCGCAAUACAGUGAUGUGGAGCUAAUCUCAGAAAGCCGAUCUCAGUUCGGAUUGGAGUCUGCAAUUCGACUCCAUGAAGUUGGAAUCGCUAGUAAUCGCGUGUCAGCGUAACGCGGUGAAUACGUUCCCGGGCCUUGUACACACCGCCCGUCAAGUCAGCCGAGUUGAUUGCACCCGAAGGAGGUGAGCUAACCGUAAGGAAGCAGCUUUCGAAGGUGUGAUUAGCAAGGGGGACUAAGUCGUAACAAGGUAACC
rnacentral:rRNA from 1 species